UCUUCUACUUUUCGUUGAUGCUUUAGCGCGUUCGAAGCUCCAGCGGGAUCCUGAAGGACACUGAACGUGCUCAGAAUGAGCCAACAUAGAAGCAACCGCAUUUGCUGUGUGCCGCAAUGCAAAAAUUAUGCGGUAGGUGAUGUGAGUCUACACUCGUUCCCAACGGCUGUGUCCAUGAGGAAGAAAUGGAUUAUUAAGCUGCGGAUCGGUAAAGCAGUUACCGAAGCGAUGAAGGUUUGCAGCGCGCACUUCACGCCGGAGGACUUUUUUUUGGAAUACGACAGGCCCAGCUGUUUGAACACCACGUCGGAAGCGCAAAACAAGACAGCAAUUCCAUCUAGGUGCCUUCCUGUCUGGGUGUUUGACGCUGUGGAUGAAGCUUCGAAGCAAGCAUCCCAUGAAAGAUCUUUGCGGGCAUCAGCAAGAUCAUGGGCAUCUGUGUGCAGAACCGAAAAUGGGCCGUCAAAUGUGCCUUUGGGGUCAUGUACAGCACAACAGCCGAACAUCGAAAGUUCGGAAAAUGUACCAACAGAGCUUGAAAGCAACCCAGUCACCGAGCUUGACCAAGGCGCCGCUAUAGCACUGCAUUGGAUGCACUCCUUGCCCUCAGUGAUAGGCGUUGUCGGUGUGUUGACAUUGGCAUUCAAGUCUGCACCGAUUCAUCACCAGCCAGAAGGAACACAUUGGUUGACUUUCUCUCGACAGAUGCUGCCAUAAAAGCCUUCACAGGUGUAG